rnacentral:rRNA from 1 species
AGUGAACGCUGGCGGUAGGCCUAACACAUGCAAGUCGAACGGCAGCACAGUAAGAGCUUGCUCUUACGGGUGGCGAGUGGCGGACGGGUGAGGAAUACAUCGGAAUCUACUUUUUCGUGGGGGAUAACGUAGGGAAACUUACGCUAAUACCGCAUACGACCUACGGGUGAAAGCAGGGGAUCUUCGGACCUUGCGCGAGUGAAUGAGCCGAUGUCGGAUUAGCUAGUUGGCGGGGUAAAGGCCCACCAAGGCGACGAUCCGUAGCUGGUCUGAGAGGAUGAUCAGCCACACUGGAACUGAGCCACGGUCCAGACUCCUACGGGAGGCAGCAGUGGGGAAUAUUGGACAAAGGGCGCAAGCCUGAUCCAGCCAUACCGCGUGGGUGAAGAAGGCCUUCGGGUUGUAAAGCCCUUUUGUUGGGAAAGAAAAGCAGCAGGUUAAUACCCCGCUGUUCUGACGGUACCCAAAGAAUAAGCACCGGCUAACUUCGUG